GACGAACGCUGGCGGCGUGCUUAACACAUGCAAGUCGAACGGUAAGGCCCUUUCGGGGGGACACGAGGGGCGAACGGGUGGGGAACACGUGAGUAACCUGCCCACAACUCUGGGAUAAGGGUAGGAAAAUGGGGCAAAUACUGGGUAUGUACUACUGCUCCAUGGUGGGGGGUGGAGAGCUCCGGCGGCUGUGGGUGGGCUCGCGGCCUAUCAGCUUGUUGGUGGGGUAGUGGCCUACCAAGGCGGCGACGGGUAGCCGGCCUGAGAGGGUGACCGACCACAUUGGGACUGAGAUACGGCCCCGACUCCGACGCGUGGCAGCAGUGGGGAAUAUUGAUCAAUGGGCGCAAGCCUGAUGCAGCACCGCCGCGUGCGGGAUGGCGGUCUUCGGGUUGGAGACCGCUUUCAGCAGUGACCAAGCUUUUUGUGACGGUACCUGCAGAAGAAGCACCGGCUAACUCCGUG
rnacentral:rRNA from 1 species